rnacentral:lncRNA from 1 species
CCCUUUCUCCAUCUGUGAAAUGGGAGUGAUCAUUUUUCCUAUCUCCAAAGGUUGUUGAAAGAACACAGUGAGCUUGCCUUGUGCCCAUGGGGCCAGAAGAUGCCAAAGGAAGCCUGAACUCAGGCAGGAAGGGCAGCAACACAGGGCAGUGAUCUGUUGAGGGGAGCUUUGGGACCAAGAUCACAUAGGGUUUAUCCCAGGAACAGGGAGAGUUAAACUCUAGGAAACUGAUUAUUGUAGUUUACAACAUCUAACCAUUUAAAUUAGUACAAAAAAAAUUAAUGAAAUUCAAUAUUUCCUAAUUUAAAAAACAC